rnacentral:lncRNA from 1 species
GCUUAGCCGAGUGGUUCUGGCUCAGGGUCUCUCGUGAAGUUGUAGUCAAGUUAUCAGCCAGGGAUGCAGUCAUCUAAAGGCUCAACCGGGGCUGGAGGAUCGAAUACCAAGCAGAUCACUCACACCCCUCAUGACUGGAGGCUUCGGUUCCUUGCCACUGUGUUGUUCCUAGGGCUGCUUGAUUAUGCCCAUGAUUUGGCAGCUGGCUUCCCCCAGAGCAAGAAGCCCAAGAGAGACAGCAAGUAGGAAGCCAAAAUGCCUUGUAUGUCCCAAUCUUGACAUCACACACCACCUCUUCUGCACAUUUUAUUAGUUAGAAGCAAGUCACUAAGGACACCCACACUUAAGGCAAGGGGAAUUCGUCCCACUGUAUAAAGCGAGAUGUAUCAGACAAAUUAAGGGUUUGUUUUAAAACCCCACAGUCUAUACAGCUGUUCCCCGGCUUGCAGAUGGCCUCAGGAGUGCUGCUGAUUAAGGACCCCUGUGUCAUUCUGCCACUCAAGGGGACGCUCCCCUACUCUCAUGCUGCACACCUCUUGCCCAGGCCUGGAACUCCUGGCCAGUUCUGCCCUCCAAAUCUCCUCUCGGCUUCUUCAAGCAUCUCAGUUCCAUUUCCAGGGAUGGGUGAGAGAUGCUCUGAGACCUGUGGGACUUGGUGUCUCAGAAGUUCACAUUUGUGGAAAAGAGGUUCAAUUGGCCACAUCCACCAAGUAGAGUUGGAGGUGUCUCUGUAGGGGUGAGGCAGAGUGUCUCUGACCAGAAGAUCCAGUCCCCAUGAAAGACUCAUCCAGCGCUCAGCAUACAGAACCUUUGAUCUGAGGACCAAGAAGUACUUAGUCUCAUCACCUCAUUUAUCUCUCUAGGGUAUCUGUGAGCCAGCUGGGAAAACUGGGGGAGAGGUGGUUUUUCCUGACCUAGUUUCAAGGAGGUCAAGCUGAGGCUAGAACACAGGUGACCACUGGCAGCCUCUGCCGAGCCUUCUGCCACUCUGGGCUUUGCAUUGGGGUGUGGUGGCAUGAGGGUUUGCCUCGCAGGCCUCCAGUUACGGCAGUACAGCUGGCCCAGGGCCCCCCUGGCUCUAGAAUCCAUCCCCUGGCUUGUGCUGACGUCAAGACGGAGUGCAGCAGGGAUACUAAAGCUGGCCCGAGCCUGGAAGCUGGGGGAUUCCUCCCCUACCUUUGGCUCAAGGAUUCCCCGAUGACUUUACUGAACCUCCCCUAGACGGCACAGCAGUCCAGGGUGCUCCUACUCAGCCUGCCUUUCUCCUUCACUGGGAGUCAGGGUUGCCAGAUGCAACACAGGACGCCCAGGAAAAUCUGAAUACUAGAUAAACAAAGAAUUAUUCGUGCCUUCUCUCUCAAGCAGAUGCACUCUUAUCCUUUGAGGCUGCAGAUGCCAGGGACAUGCUUCCAUUGCAGCAUCAUCAAGAUGGCUUGGGAUCAAGAUGACUUGGGCGCACUAUCCUCCCUACCAGGCCCUGAGCAACACCAUCAUUUCUCAUUCCUAAUUCCCAGGAGAGCAUGGCACAGAGAGGUGCUCAGCAUCUUCCUGAGACUUAUAGAAGAAGCCAAGGAGCUGAGAGCAGCAGAGACAAGAAACAGAGGGAGAGUGAGAAAGUCCCGGGCCAUUCCGCAACUCAAGCAGGAGAAAAACCCAGGAGUGGGGUGGCGUAGGCGGGGCCACCACAAGGAGCCCGUGCAUCAGGGGGCGCAGGCUGUUUCUGGAUCAUUCCACUGGGAAGGGGACAAAACCCAUCUUUUAUGACCCAUGUUCAGUUCUCAGUUGGAGUCAGGUCUUUGGCCUUGAUAGAUUUCAAUAUCCUGUGCAGCUGAUGUCUGACCCACGCAUCAAGAAUACAGCCUUCACACACCUGCCGUGAGAAGCCCUCUAUGACCUUCUGCAGAGGGAGGGAACUGCCUAAGAGCUGCUGAGUGCAGGAAUGCAGGGUGCUAAGAAGCAGGUACCCAGUUUGGGGUUAAAAUAUGUAUAAUAUAUCCAUUUGAAUACCCAUCAAUAAAUAUCAGUCAUGCUCACUUUUGGGUGCUGGGGGUUAUUGGAGAUAUUGAUUCAUUUGUUUUAUGAGUGG